rnacentral:rRNA from 1 species
UACGGGGGGAGCAAGCGUUGUUCGGAUUUACUGGGCGUAAAGGGCGCGUAGGCGGUCAGCACAAGUCAGUUGUGAAAUCUCCGAGCUUAACUCGGAAAGGUCAACUGAUACUGUGCGACUAGAGUGCAGAUGGGGCAACUGGAAUUCUCGGUGUAGCGGUGAAAUGCGUAGAUAUCGAGAGGAACACCUGCGGCGAAGGCGGGUUGCUGGGCUGACACUGACGCUGAGGCGCGAAAGCUAGGGGAGCGAACGGG